rnacentral:rRNA from 1 species
UACGUAGGGUGCAAGCGUUGCCCGGAUUUAUUGGGCGUAAAGGGCGCGUAGGCGGUCACGCACGUCCGUUGUGAAAUCGCUCGGCUCAACUGGGCGGGGUCAGCGGAUACGGUGUGGCUGGAGCAAGCUAGGGGGCAAUGGAAUUCCCGGUGUAGUGGUGGAAUGCGUAGAGAUGGGGGAGAACACUCGUGGCGAAGGCGGCCAGCUAGACCAGUUCUGACACUGAGGCGCGACAGCGUGGGGAGCAAACAGG